rnacentral:rRNA from 1 species
CUACGGGACGCAGCAGUGAGGAAUAUUGCACAAUGGGGGGAACCCUGAUGCAGCAACGCCGCGUGGAGGAUGACGCAUUUCGGUGUGUAAACUCCUUUUAUAUGUCAAGAAAAUGACGGUAGCAUAUGAAUAAGCACCGGCUAACUCCGUGCCAGCAGCCGCGGUAAUACGGAGGGUGCAAGCGUUACUCGGAAUCACUGGGCGUAAAGGACGCGUAGGCGGGUUGGAAAGUCAGGUGUGAAAUCCUACAGCUUAACCGUAGAACUGCACUUGAAACUUCUAAUCUAGAGUAUGGGAGGGGGAGAUGGAAUUAGUGGUGUAGGGGUAAAAUCCGUAGAUAUCACUAGGAAUACCUAAAGCGAAGGCGAUCUCCUGGAACAUUACUGACGCUGAGGCGUGAAAGCGUGGGGAGCAAACAGGAUUAGAUACCCGCGUAGUC